GGUCAUGAGUGCCAGCGCCAAGCCCCGGCUCGCUGGCCGGCAACCCUCCAGUUGCGGUGGGGUGCUCCGGGUGAUUGACCGGGCUCUCGAAAGCCGAGGGCAAGCGCGACUG
rfam:Mycobacterium sp. 852002-51759_SCH5129042 contig_79, whole genome shotgun sequence.